GAAACCUGGGACCUAGGUGCGAUUGUGAGAAGCCAGGGGGAACCCCUUCCCUCACAAAACCCUAAAUCACUAGAUUCCAUCAAUUGAAAGCCAGAUUAUUGAAGAAUCGAAUGCAUGACCUAAGAAUCCUGAUUAUCUAAGUGUUCUUGAUCUCAAGCACGAAGAAGGAAGAAGGCGUAAGUCACUCGAAGGCACAAAUAUCUCAAGAUCGCGUGCAUGGUAAAUCUCAAGUUUAAAUGUGGCGCACUCGAACCGAUCACACGCACACGCAACGCCGACCUUAUGCGCUUCCGGUCCAAGUUGUUUAUUUUGAACGGGUCAAUUUAACAUUUUGUUUAGUUAAUGUCAAUUAGUAAGUGUCUAGUUUGUUAGCAUGAAAUUUGGUUCCUAAACUUUUGGUUUUGAUUGUACAAAAUGUUAUCGGUGGACCUUAUAUGACCACCACUUUGUUAUUUGAAAAGUGUCGUAGGGUUUGGUUAAAUGAAUAUUGUAAAAACAGGAGGAAAAGUUCUAAGUUCAAACGGGUCAUGUCAAAUU
rnacentral:lncRNA from 1 species